rnacentral:rRNA from 1 species
GACGAACGCUGGCGGCGUGCUUAACACAUGCAAGUCGAACGGAAAGGCCCUGCUUUUGUGGGGUGCUCGAGUGGCGAACGGGUGAGUAACACGUGAGUAACCUGCCCUUGACUUUGGGAUAACUUCAGGAAACUGGGGCUAAUACCGGAUAGGAGCUCCUGCUGCAUGGUGGGGGUUGGAAAGUUUCGGCGGUUGGGGAUGGACUCGCGGCUUAUCAGCUUGUUGGUGGGGUAGUGGCUUACCAAGGCUUUGACGGGUAGCCGGCCUGAGAGGGUGACCGGCCACAUUGGGACUGAGAUACGGCCCAGACUACUACGGGAGGCAGCGGUGGGGAAUAUUGCACAAUGGGCGGAAGCCUGAUGCAGCAACGCCGCGUGCGGGAUGACGGCCUUCGGGUUGUAAACCGCUUUCGCCUGUGACGAAGCGUGAGUGACGGUAAUGGGUAAAGAAGCACCGGCUAACUACGUG